UGGGUGCCGGGGCCGGGCGGGGGGAGCCCGGGUGUCCCCUCGGAGCCCCCCGGGCCGCCUCCCUCCCUCUGGGUCCGGAGAGGAGCAGGAACCCGCCGGGAGCGCCGGGGGCAGCGGCGGAGCCCGGCCGGGACGAGGAGCGGGAGGCGCCGGCAGCUGCGGGACCCUCCGUGCGCAGGAUGGGGGCUGUGCCCGCACGGCCAGCACAGGCUCCCUCCUUUCUGCCAACACAAAUGCAGCGUCCAGCACAUGAAGACAAAACACGCCGGAAUUCAGCCGUACUGUGAAGACAGAUCAGGUUUCAGAGGAUGCACUCGUGCAGAUGAAGAGUGAAGCGGCCAGCCCAGAGAUGAAGCACUGUGGCCUGUAACAUUAAUUUUUUGCUGUUUUCACCACUGGAAGAUGGCUGCCAGACUCUGUGAAAAUGGUUCUGGACAGUACCACUGCACCCAUGCCAGCCGACCUCUUGAAAUCAGCUACAUGUUGGUCCUGAUUAUGCUUGGAAAAGUCUUCCUUGAUUUCUUCAUGUUGCAAAUUAAGCCCAAGCCUGUGAAAGUCAGUUUUAUGGGAUACUUUUGCAUUUCGGUGGCACUUCUCGAUUUCACAGUGCUGCUGAGUAUCUGUUUCAUUUUCUGUUUUGAGGAUUUUGCACUCUGGGGCGUACGAUUCACAGAGUACCACAUCUGCCUCUUCACUCAGAUCACUUCUCUGACCUAUGGGAUUUUGCCUUACCCAGUGUAUCUUGUGGCUGCUCUGGAUUAUUACACCACAGUCUCCCAAACAUCCCAGUUCCCUACCAGAGCUCGGAGGUUACUUUAUGUAUUCGCCGUGGCGGUUAUCUGGAUUUCCGUGGUUUUCUGCACUCUCCAAGUUCCUGCUGUCUCUGAAGAUCUGGAAAUGCACGACAGCGUUUCCCCUGCCCAGUGCCCUCUCUCUGGCAGCCUGCAGAGCUACUCGGUGUCCUGUGCCAUGGUGCUGCUGCUGGGCACGGCGCUCCUGGCUCGCUGCAAGGAGGUGACAACCAUGCUGCUGUCUGCCAGGCUCCUCUCCUUUUCCAGCCAGCCUGUGCUGAUGUUCUCCUAUGUUCCUAACAGCAACACUUGCUUGAAGUGGCAGCUGCUGAGCAGGCUCCUCCUGUGUUUCCUUGGCACUUGGGCACCGUUUGUUGUUCUCCAGGUCGUGGUUCUGCUCCUGGGUGUGCAGAUCCCAGCCUAUGUGGAGAUGAACGUGCCCUGGCUGUACUUCAUCAACAGCUUUCUCCUGGCUGCAGCCUACUGGUGCCGGUGCCACGAUGUGGAGCUGACAGAGGAGGGGUGGUGCACAGACCCCUUUGUCAGCUGGAAAUUCUGCUUUAUGCCGUUCAACAAUGAAAGCACAGAGCCAGCUGAUAAGCCAGGCACAGUAAUUGUCAUCUGUUAAUGAGCUGCCCACUGAAAAGGCUGCAGAGAAGCAGAACUCUGAUGCUGGCUGGGUCCUUACAGACAACACAAGGAAACAUCUCCAGAGCUUCACUCCAUGGAAACAAGUCCAGUGUCCAGCAACACUUCAGUGAAUACUGCACUGGAGUGCAGGACACCGAGCCCCAGUGGGCAGCAAGCUCUGCCAGGCCAGGGAAUUCAACUUCAAAUUACAUGUUUAAAAAAACACUGCUUAAAUAGGACAAGUGUUCAGUUGAACUUCAUGUUUCUGACUAGAAUUCUACACUUCCUUUAAAUGGAAUUAUCUCAGGUUUUAUGGUACAAAAUGCAAUAAAGUCUUCAAGGCUGGAGUUACAUACAGAUGCUGACAUAAGAUUCAAAUGACUUUUUGAAGUGUAUUUUGUUGUUAAAAAGUGGAUUUUUGUCAGCUUGAUGGAAGGUAAGGGUUGCUGUCUGUUUAACAAGAAAUAACUUUAGUUAAAGCUACAAAUUUUACAGAAAUAGAAACUUCACAUAGUACAAAACCAGUGAAAGAUGUGCAAAUUCCACCACAGGAGAGAUGCUGUUUCAUUGUUUCUUUGCUGCUACUCCUCUAAGGUACAUGAACAUAUUAAAAAUAAAAUAAUUAGAGCAACAAGCAUCAAGGUUAGCUACUAUACAUAAAUAUACACCCAAGGUUGAAUAACAGUUUAAAUUAAAAUGUAGCUUAUUUUGAAGCCAAAAUUACUUUAAAAUAGUUAAAUAUGAAGUGGCACUACUUUAGCAGGGAAAGAAUUAGUCAGGCUUCUAGCAAAAAUACUCUAAAUUUUCAAAUUCUAAGAGUUUUACAAUGGACUUGAUUUGAUUUUGUAUAAGAGAAAUAAAUCAUACACAACCGAAGCAGACAAAUGAAAUUAGCAUUUAUUUCUGAAGCACUAAACUCACAAUACAAUGUUGUAUUGAAAGAGAAACUAAGUAAAUGAUGCUGUAGGUUGGUUAACUGUCCCCCAGACCCACAGGGAACAAUGAUUUCACACAAGAAUACCCAUUAAGAAAACUCUGCAGAUAACAAAAGGUGCAAUUACAAACAAGUUUAAGCAGCAUAGUAUAAGGUGCUUUGUUUCAGCAUUUGUAGGAUGGAUUUACCCAUUAACAGACAGAUUGAAGAAAUGUCACUUUUACAGCUCAUAACAAAAAUUCAUUCACAUGCUAGCUGGUAAUGGGAAAGUGCUUCUUAAAAAAUUAUUCACAAAGUAAAGAUCAUACUUUUACAUAGUUCAUUGUGUGCUCUUCAACCGUAAAAUUUAAAUUUUGGGUAAUAAUUUAUUAUAUAUCAAUUAUAGAGAUAGAUUUAAUUGCAGAAUUUAAUACUACAUGGGUUAAAUUUUCUUAUAAAAUAAUAUUCCAGUAUUUCACUCCAUAAGAAUACACAAUCACAUCUCAAUCAUAAAUUAAUCUUUGAUUUCUGAAACAUAUCAAAAAUCCAAUUAUUUUGAUUUAUUACUUCACCCCACAUAGUGCUUCUUUCACCCACAGUCUGUGGUAAAUUUCUUGGAGGUUUCUGUGAUGUAAUCAAAAGGGGACAAGCAUUUUUCAGCAGUAGAAAAUGGUUUUGGGGGAAAACCUAUUUAAAAGGCCAUCAAAAGCACAGUAAAUGAUUGAAAACUGAAUUUUAAAACUAGUGCAAUAAGAGGAGGCAAUGCUUAGCAACAUAGUUUGAAGUGUUUGGCACGACAAAUUAUUUCAUUUUUUAUGCUGGAAAAUGUACUUGGAGGAAAGUCUAUUUCCAUGUUAAAAGUAGGAAAGCACAUCCAAUGUUAACUGAAAAAACAACCCUAAGCAAUCACUCCCUGCUCUCUCAAACUGUAAUUGCUGUUAUUUAGUGCUGGAGAUGCUAUAGAAUAAACCAUGGCUAAACACAGGGCUUUGACACAGCAUUUCUUCAGGUUUUAUAGAAACUGGACACCCACUGAAAUGGGGCUGACAAAAUAUUUACAAAACCUAAUUCCAUUUAAAAAUCAGCAAAUACAUCAAAUAUAGGAAUGCACCAGGCAUUUCAGAAUCAUGAAAUAACUAAUCCCUACAGACUCAGCAGGCAGGGGAAAAUUCCUCUUUUAAAGUUUGUUCCACACCAGAUGAAGGCAAAACUCUCUUCAAGUUCAUCUCAGGUGUGUUUUGCAUGGUAAAUCUCACCCUUCUGAAUCACUAACAUGCACAGAACUGGAACUGCAACCAGUUGGGUGAGGCUGCUGACAUGUUUUAUUUAUCAGCGUGGUUCAGCUUCCCAAGCCCUAAUUAAAGUUUACACAACCCCAUCUGCCCUAACGUGCCAGAAUUCCUGUAGCUGCUGCAGUGCUCCUAAAGCCACUUGAAGUUUUUAACAUUUUUUACAGGGAAUCCACAAUAUGCAGCCAAAGCAAAUAUUAAUGGGUUGAUGUUACAUGACUGUAUUACUUGUCAAAUUUAUUCUUUCAUACUUUUUAUUCAGAAGUGCCAAAGAGCAUCAACUUUUAAGCUGCCACCUCCAUCGAGGAGGCAACAGUGGGACUGCAGGUCUCCAACAUCCAACCGUGGUGCCUGAGCCUGCCAAGUGACUGUUUUAAAAUGUAUUAAUGAUAACUCUCUUUGCAAGCCCACUUUCAUUCCUGGCAUUCAUGGAGGGAGAUACCAGCUCUGCAGUGACCUCCAUCCUACUGCCUUCUUAACAAUUGAGUCUUUUCCUCUGCGCAUUCUUUUUUUUACCUGGUGCUUCUGAGCAGUCCCAACACUGGCACCUGGACCACCCCUCUCUAGAAGAGGGUGACAGUUUCACUGCCAAAGAGGACAGAAGCUGUGCCAUAUCUGAAAUAAAAGAACUGCAGAUAACCACUGUUACAUCUCCUCUGUACAUCACUUCUUGUGCUGUGCCAGCAAUUAAUGUCCUUACACCAUUCAAAUACCUCACAGUGCUUAAUUCUUAUAAGAUUAUUUGAGAUUAAUGCUAACAACAGCUAAAGUGUUAACCCAUUAUGGGAGACUUCUGUACUUUUUUCAUUUAAAGAAUCUCUGACAAAUCAACAUUGAUUUUAAUGAGAUAUUCCAUGUGUUUUCAACUCUAAACAGAGUAUUUGGCACUCAAUGAUAAAACCCUUCACCUUUACAAACAUCUUUCCUGGUCAGUACUGGCUUGUUCAUUCUAUAACACAAAGACUACUUGGAAAGGAAGCUGGGUGUGCAGAAUCCUUCACUGUUCUUUCCAAAAAUGAAUUUGUAAAAAGCUGCCAGAGGAUGGAAGCAUCCUGGCUGGGUAGUGGAGGACAACACAAGCCUACCACAGGCUGCCCAGGCUGCACCCACAAAGCAGAUCUACCUCAUGAAUCAAAGACAUUUGUGCUUCAAGCCUAAUCCCAUAAUCAGCACAGAUACCCUGGUUAUUACCUAGCAACAACACCAUAAGCCUGCCAACAACCCUAUGUACCAAAGCAGGGCUUCAUAAACACAAUUAGAAUGCUCCUUCAGUGUUACGUAUUGCACUUAAACAGUGUUUAUGAUCACAAUUCUAUGAAUGCACAAUUGUGCUCAAGUUACAAUUACUUCUAGAUGGAAAAAAUAUUUUAGUAUCUCAUUUUUCUAGCUCCUUACUGUACAGAGUCAUUUGGAUAAUUCAACAGGAAUACUUGCCGGAAGUUUAAAAAAAAUUAACUUGAAAUCUGUUCAUAACACUGGCUCCCAGAACCGUGAUUCAGAAAAGUUAAAUCCAUGGCUACAAAAGCUGGACUAUGAGCUUACUCCAUAUCUGCAAUUAUCAGCAUAUUCACAUCUCUGAACUUUGCUUUUUCCCUUCCACUUUGCUAUAAGAAAUCAAAAAAUACUAUGCAACCUUCAAGUGAAUGAGCAGGUGUGUGUUUAAUACAGAAGUUACACAAAUCUACACAGCAGUUUAGGAUGGGGCCUUGAGCACAUGUGGAAGUGCUGACCAUGAGACCCAGGGGAUACAGCAGGACACAAAAUGCCCCAGCCCCUAGAGCUGACACCCAAGAGAGCAAAAUGCCACAUUCAGAAAUUGAGUGGGGAAAGAAAUGUCAGAUUUCUAAAGAGAUGAAGAUAGUAAAAACAAACCAGGUUGAUUCUCAUGGAUUAGGGUAAUGUGUUCCCACUGCCUUGGUGCUCAGUGUCCCAGGCCCUGACUCCAUCAACUCAGACCAGGGACAGCUUCCUGAAAAAGCUUCCUGAAAAAUCCACACAGCUGGCACCUGUCUGGAGCAUCACUACUGUCUCUUUUAUGAUGUCACCAUUUGCAAUGCCAUCCAGGGGAUGUAACUACAUAGAACCUUUCAGGUCUAAAUAAACUCUCAUGACUAAAGACAAAUUCUUUUAAAAUUAAUUUAAUUUAGGCUCAUCUUAAAUGAACUAAGCAUUAAAUGAAUUUAAAAUUUCUUUCUCCUCACAGUAUUUCCUGUCUGAAACUACAGCUCACUAUGCAAGAGUGACUUGAAAAUUAAUUCUCUGAAUUUACACUGAAAUUAUUCAUUGAUAGCUCUGCUCAUACCUGUUCCAUUCAGCAUUGAACAGGAACGGUGAAUUUAAAACAAAAUACUCUAAAAUAUUAGCUUCUCUCCACCUCCAAUAAACUAAUUUAGGAAAAUAUUAAAAAACUACCCUAGACUGAUUGUUUUGCAGUCAUUAUCUGCAGCCUAAAACAAUCAAUGUGGAAAUAUCUGGUUAAUGAUGACAAAUAUAUGCUAACAGGCCAUCUCUAUACAAUACUGGUGAGAAAAUAACCCUGCAAGCUUUUAUACAUGCUGAGUUUUAAUAUGAGCAGUCUCAGUACAGUCAGAAGAACUACUCAUGUUAUAAAUUAUGGGGAUGUCUAAUUAUUUGCAAAAUGAGGACUCAACACAGCUGUCACUGAAUUCUUUGAUCACUUAGAGCUGUAGAUUUGUCACUGUGUAAGAAAUCUGCUGAGCUCUUGAGGUGGAAGUUUCUGCAUGGAUACUGUGAUAUUAAAAGGAGAACAUCCACCUGAAACUGGCAUUAGUUGUAGCUGCCAUGCCAGGCAGUGACACACCACACCCAGCCCAGUCUCACAACCAACUGCCACUCAAAUUACAUUUCAGUGGUUUUGUACCUGAAUAUUUCCUUACACUUCAAGAUACAGAAAUUAUGCAAAAGCUACCCCAGACCAAACAGUUUGUUUUAUCCCAUCCUUUCCUCUUCCUGCCACUUCUGCAGUUACAAAGGACUCUAUCUGUUCUAUCCAAAAGGCUGAAUUCCUUUUUGGACAAAGCACAGGUGCAAGUCAGGGGGUAAAUACCUGCUUUCAUAGGAAAGAAAUGAGGAAAUGGAUGCUUGCAGGACAUAAAUCUUCUGGAUUUGGUGGAGAGUGGUGGAGAAAAAAGAAAGGGAAAAGCCACGAAAUGUAUCUCCCUUCUGAGCUACUCCUACAGAAGCUG